AUUACAUCGUGUCCAUACUGAGUUAAAGGAUUACAUAGUUUAGCAAGUAAAGAUUCAACAUCCAACAUCCGAGGCAACCUAUUAGAAGCAACACUAAUUUUUUUUUUCUUCACAAGCUUAUCUAGGUAGAGUAAAUGAGGUAGCUGUACAAUGUAUGAAGAGCUUCGAUAAUCAACAAUCGAUAAUCGAAACUCGACUCUAGACAGGAGGUAUAUUGGAAAAAGAGAAACCUUUAUAACCCUUGUAAGCAUAGUAUGCAAUCCUUGUAUAGUAGAACCCUGGUAUAAACAAAACUCCACCAAGUAUAGCAAAAAAAAGCCCAUGAGCUGUAUCGCCACCGACCUUAUUGAUUGCCAUGAAAAUACCUAGAAAAAUAGCUAGGGUACCAAAUACAAGAAGGGAAACAGCAAGAGCGAUCUCUUUGAUAGGUCCACGAUUGUUAUCGGCAUGAGAACCUUCCAUCAUCAUAUCCUCAUCGGAAAUUGAGAAAGCAUGAUCGACGUACGCCAUUGAAACAAACACUAUUUUCUUUGUAAUGCUUGAAGAAGAAGAAGGGUUAGUGGGAAAUACCUAUUUUCAGCAGAAACAGAGUUUGGCUUAAGAAGAAAGGCGUCUUUUGCGUGUGCCAAUAAAACUAUUCUAAACCUAAAUACGGAUACGGUGGUGCGGUAUAUGAAGUUGUUUCUUUCGAGAUAUCAAAUUUAA
rnacentral:misc_RNA from 1 species